UUUCGUCAACUUCCCUCGGAGAAACAACGUAAUCAUAACUCUGAGGUACGCCUUCUAUCUUCUCUUCUCCUCUCUCUUUACUGCCGCCAUCACCUUCGGAGAUUGACCAACCUCCGCCUUAGUGAUUACUAGUUGCUCUCCCAUAUCUGGAGCAAACGGCGGCAUCUAAGUGACGACAAUGGUUUGGUUACCAAUCAACAACGCAGCUACGCUGGUUUUCUUAGGUGAGCUGCCUGUAAAAGCAGAUCGGUGUGAAUGACGAUUUUGAAAUUCGGAGCAUCGUCCUUAGUUAUCGAGCCCUGCCCAAAAACUUUACAACGGGAAUGCGUGAACCUCAGAAAUUGAGUAACCUAGCGGCAACUCCUCCUUCCCUGACUUCUUCUAACGCGUACCCUCUCUCUCCUCCUCUCUCUCAGUCAUUGACAUCAGAAACACGGUCGGGCUUGCAUCUCUGGGAAAGUAGCACUCCGAUGAGUGGCAGCCUCAACGUUCUGUCGCAAUCCGAUCACCGAAAAGGGGCUGGAAUUGAAAAGGUAGAAAUUUGUUACGCUGUUACAAUAACAUCGGCUCUUCACGGGGACAGAAUCUCACAGUCGGAUUAAUUGACACACCUAUCCUGCAUCAAGAUCAGCUUUACGCUUUUCUUUUCAUCGAGAAUCCGGGAAGUAUCAGGAAAGGAGCUACCCAUUAUGCUAGCUGCGUAUGAUAUCCUUUCAAUUAAAAGUGGCGGGAUGUUCUAUUA